AGCAUUCACCAAAAUCCAUAUUCUAACUGCUCUGUUUCACUUUUCGGAGAGAAAAACAAGAUUUUUCUUCACAAAGUAAGGAAAUUUCUUUAUUUAUCCCGGAAAAAAAAAAGAAAAACAAUCGAGAGAAAAAAAAACUAAAAAAGUUCUUAUUCGUCUUCUUCCUUCUUCUCCUCUAUUCUCCCCUAUUCACUGCAAAAAAAAAAAAAAAAUCUUUCUCCAUCGCGUCUCUUUUCUUCUUUGUUCCUUAUUUUUCAAGUUCUUUUUGAGAAGGAAGACUACUGCAGGUGAAGGCUUAUCAGUUCUAACGUGAUUUAGGGUUUAUUCCUUUUUUUUAUUUUGGAUGUAAAGGUUUGAUUUGCCGUGUUAUGAUUUUUACUGAAAGCUAUACGCGAUUUAGGGUUUGUGGACAAUAAGAUCAUAUAAUCUUUUGGUACGAUUUUUAUUGAAACAGAUACACCACAAAAUCCCAUUCUCUUUUGGUUGGCAAGGAAAGGCAAGGCUUUUAAAGACCUGGAAGUAUGGAAACCUUAAAACCAAUGAGCUACAUGGAAUGAAUAUGAAUGAACUUAAUGGAUGAUAAAAGGGAUCGACCUGAAGGUAACUUUGUGCGAAAAUGGAGCAAAUCAGUAGAGUGGGAGGUGACAAACAAACAUGGAAGCGCGACGAUAACUGUUAUAAUCAAUGCAACGUUCGUGAAAGAGGUUCAAGGUGCUCAGAAAGAAAGGGGAUAUGGUCAUACAGAUGCCAUGACUUAUGCCUUGCUUGAGGUUUAUUACACAAGUUUGUCGUUGACAUAUAUGGAAUGCUUCAAUGGAAGGUUGAACCUUUGAUAUCUGCAGCAAAACCUACUUCAGGAAGCAUUUUGGAGGGUGUAUGAAUGGAAGUUCAUGAAUUGCCUUGAGUUUUGAGCAAGUGUUGUCUGUGCAUACAGUUCUGAACCUGACUUCCGGCCCUUGGCGUAUCUCUUUGCUCAAUCAUGUUGCUGCUUCUUUGGGUACUUUCAUUCCUGAAUUUUUACUGACGAUGAACAACCAUCCAGAUUAGAGCGUAGUACGGAUUCUGGUGAUGAUAUCCAUGCGAUUUCUGGAAUUGAUGCGCAGUUACUCAUUAAGAAAUUAAUGCACACACUAUGAAAUUUGAAUAACACAUUAGUAGUUUGUUCUUUUCCCUGUUUUUAUAACUUCUGCGGUAGUUCAAUUAGUUAGGACAGUCAAUACGUUAGGAUUCCAUGUUUAUUAAUGCUUGCACUGUGAAGUGCAACUAUCAUUCAUCUAUUGCAGUCCAAUUAUUCUGUCACUUCUACAAUGUUAUGCAUUGUUUACCUAUUGAAUAGGCUCUACAUAUCUGUUGAGUUCUUU